AUUGAACGCUGGCGGCAGGCCUAACACAUGCAAGUCGAACGGUAGCACAGAGAGCUUGCUCUCGGGUGACGAGUGGCGGACGGGUGAGUAAUGUCUGGGAAACUGCCUGAUGGAGGGGGAUAACUACUGGAAACGGUAGCUAAUACCGCAUAACGUCGCAAGACCAAAGAGGGGGACCUUCGGGCCUCUUGCCAUCAGAUGUGCCCAGAUGGGAUUAGCUAGUAGGUGGGGUAACGGCUCACCUAGGCGACGAUCCCUAGCUGGUCUGAGAGGAUGACCAGCCACACUGGAACUGAGACACGGUCCAGACUCCUACGGGAGGCAGCAGUGGGGAAUAUUGCACAAUGGGCGCAAGCCUGAUGCAGCCAUGCCGCGUGUAUGAAGAAGGCCUUCGGGUUGUAAAGUACUUUCAGCGGGGAGGAAGGUGUUGUGGUUAAUAACCACAGCAAUUGACGUACC
rnacentral:rRNA from 1 species